GCAUUUUAUAGCCCGGAAGAUCUUAAGCACAAAGGUCCCCAGGCUCCUCGCGCUGCCUGCACAGAGCUGGCACAAUGUGGCCCCUUAUCUCCACGCCGUCUGGAAGGCGACAGGCGCGUCCUGCAUUUAUCACCCCAGGGCACCGUUCCACCUUGAGAGGAGGGGAAAGCACCUGAAACAAACAACAUAACUAUUCACUUCUUUCUUCCCACCCUUCCUUGAAUCUCAACAAACCCAAACACCUGCAGCCAACUCCAGGAGCUGACCAGAAGCGUGUUCAUCAUAACCACCUAUUUGGGAAUUUUUCUUCUUCAUCAAAGCAAGUUACUCUGCAGUGCACAGCAAAGGCCAUAGAAACAAAGAGGAUGGGAUGGAAAGGUUAUAGCUUGAAUCCUGACAUUCCUCAGGCUUGUGUUCAGCCUUUCAUCUCUGCGCUGCCCUGUGGGAGAGCAGCGGGAUGCUGAGGAAGGAGGGGAGCAGCAGCCCAAAGCUGUGUGGCUCGGUGUAGUGCAGCUGGUGAGUUACGUACUGCUACCUUCCUGAAAAGUAAAAUGCCUGGAGUACGUGCCAUCAGAAUAACAGGAGUAGAACUGACCAUGUGCUGGGGAGGGAGGAAACAGGCCUCCAAGUCAUUUGAAAACCAUCGUCAUCAUUUUGUUCGCUGUCAAAAACACCAGCAUGCCUCUGCCACCAUCAUACGGUAUUUGCACGGUGUGGAUCCAAAGAAGUGAGACAUCUGAUACUACAAUUUGUUCUUGGCUGAAGAAGACGGAGAAAAUACUCAGGAAUUUAUAACAUAUAUGUGUAUAAUUAAAAAGCAAGUGCAUCUUCCAGUGAGAGACUUGGGAGGCAUCCAACUGCAGGGAAAGCCCUGUGAGUUCGUGUCUGUGUAUCCUUGGAGCACACCUCUGUAACAGAACGCGUGCUUUGACAAUUCCUUGAAUGAUACCACAGCCCACUGGUAACAGAUGUGCUUUCACACGGAACUGCAAUCUCCCCAUACCGACGCUGACGGGACGUGGGCGCGAGCACCGGCCGCUCACCCCAACCCCCACAGCGCC
rnacentral:lncRNA from 1 species